UACGGGGGGGGGGCAAGCGUUGUUCGGAAUUACUGGGCGUAAAGGGCGCGUAGGCGGCCCGCUAAGUCGAACGUGAAAUCCCCGGGCUCAACCCGGGAACUGCGUCCGAUACUGGCAGGCUUGAAUCCGGGAGAGGGAUGUGGAAUUCCAGGUGUAGCGGUGAAAUGCGUAGAUAUCUGGAGGAACACCGGUGGCGAAGGCGGCAUCCUGGACCGGCAUUGACGCUGAGGCGCGAAAGCUGGGGGGAGCAAACGGG
rnacentral:rRNA from 1 species